UACGGAGGAUGCGAGCGUUAUCCGGAUUUAUUGGGUUUAAAGGGUGCGUAGGCGGAGUGUCAAGUCAGCGGUAAAAUUUCGGGGCUCAACCCCGUCGUGCCGUUGAAACUGACACCCUUGAGUGAGUGAGAAGUAAGCGGAAUGCGUGGUGUAGCGGUGAAAUGCAUAGAUAUCAGGAGGAACAUCGGUGGCGUAAGCGCUUUACUGGGCCGUAAUUGACGCUGAGGAACGAAAGCCAGGGUAGCAAAUGGG
rnacentral:rRNA from 1 species